UGGGGAAUAUUGGACAAUGGGCGCAAGCCUGAUCCAGCAAUGCCGCGUGAGUGAUGAAGGCCUUCGGGUUGUAAAGCUCUUUCGCCUGCGAGGAUGAUGACGGUAGCAGGAGAAGAAGCCCCGGCUAACUUCGUGCCAGCAGCCGCGGUAAUACGAAGGGGGCGAGCGUUGUUCGGAUUUACUGGGCGUGAAGGGCGCGUAGGCGGCGAUGUAAGUCAGGCGUGAAAGCCCCGGGCUCAACCUGGGAGGUGCGCUUGGGACUAGAUUGCUGGAGUUCGGGAGAGGAGCGUGGAAUUCCCAGUGUAGAGGUGAAAUUCGUAGAUAUUGGGAAGAACACCGGUGGCGAAGGCGGCGCUCUGGACCGAUACUGACGCUGAGGCGCGAAAGCGUGGGGAGCAAACAGGAUUAGAUACCCUGGUAGUCCACGCUGUAAACGAUGUGUGCUAGACGUUGGGGAGCCUAGCUCUUCGGUGUCGCCGCUAACGCUGUAAGCACACCGCCUGGGGAGUACGGCCGCAAGGUUA
rnacentral:rRNA from 1 species